AGGCUUUGCUGAGAACAGUGCUUGGUCAGUAGUAGUCAUUGCUCACUGUCAACAUCUCGGUUAUAUGCUCUCCAUUUGUCCUACAAGCGCAGCGACAUGAACAGAUCGUUGAAUAUGUCUUGAGGGCAUUCGACAUUUGUCAGGUUAUUCCUAUUUUUUCCAGGAGGAAGUUUGUUUUGUCAGAGCCCACAGUAUCCUCGCAUUUACUGCUGUCAGAGGGGCCAGUGGCAACUACUCUUUCAGAAAAGCAAAAUUUCCCGAGAAGAAAUCGUGAGGUUUCUCUUGCUAUGUGACCUUAAGGAGAUGACUUCACACCUCUCAGAUUCAGUUCCUGGACUGGUAAAAAUGCAGCAAGUAACUUGAACUGUCCACAAUAGCUGUAAUUGUUGCUAAUUCCAGCAAUUUUCCUCAAGAGGUUCCCUGCUAAGAACCUUCCAUCUAGCAAACCAAACCACUAAAUGCAAGAGGGCUUGAAUUAUUGGAAUUAUUGCUUGGCAAAUGCAGAAUGGUCAACCCUGCCACACUGUGACCCAGAGAAAGAUCUUUCGAAAAUAAAGAUCAUUCUCGUCAGUUGGAAUAAAACUGUCCUGCAAGGAAUCAAAUUGGCCCUCUGUCCGCGUGAUCUUCUUAAGUAAAACAAAAGACAAAUGUGCACUGUCCACAAAUGAAGUUGGCCAAGCAAAUUGGGGGAGAAAAAGAAAGCCUCACCAGCCUCCUUACUGAUCUGAAAGUCACCUUCUUGAAGAAGUAAGGAAGAUCAGACCUGAGCUAACAUCUGCUGCCAAUCCUCCUCUUUUUGCUGAGGAAGACUGGCCCUGAGCUAACAUCCAUGCCCAUCUUCCUCUACUUUAUAUGUGGGACGCCUACCACAGCAUGGCUUGCCAAGUGGUGCUAUGUCUGCACCUCGGAUCUGAACUGGCGAUCCCUGGGCCACGGAAGCAGAACGUGUGCACUUAACCACUGUGCCACCGGGCCAGCCCCUGAAGAGUUCUGACAAAUGUAUACCAUACCCACGCCACCACCACUAUCAAAAGAUAGGAGGUUUCCAUCACCCUAAAAG
rnacentral:lncRNA from 1 species